CUCUAAUAGUUUAUAAAAACAUUGGCCUUGUAAGCCAAAGAUUGAAGCACAGCCGCUUCUUAGAGUU
rnacentral:tRNA from 1 species